AGUCAAGCCAGAUUUUAGAUAAAUUACAUUAUUUGACGAUCAUUGAUACUUGUCUCUGCGUUAAGCCUCUCUAAGGUGAAAAUUUUAAAAAGAACCAGACGAGCUCCAUCAGGCACAGACGCGGACGGCCACAGGCUCAGGGGUCCUCUGGUUGGGAAGGUGUUGGUGGGCUCCGGGUUCUAAGAGUGUGCGGCGUGGAACUUCGCGUCUCCGAACGGUGCGGAGCCCGUUCCAUGGAGUAGCUAAGGGCUGGGCUAUUUUUCCGCGACCUUUGUUGCAGGUCAAGAGAGGAGUGCGGAACAGGCGAACGGGAUAACGGAGUUCCGUACCGGGAAGGGCCACGCCCACCUGCUGGAAGAGGCCGGACCGAGAGGUGUGGGGGAGACCGGCAGGCGUGGGAACGCGGCGGUGUGGACGGAGCUGCCUCGCGGCUGGCGAGGUGAGCUUGAUCAGUGGCGAAUCGCGAGGUCCCUGCCCGCCGUGAGUUGCGCACACCUGUCAUCCCCAUUCUUGGGAGGAGAAGCUGCAAGACCAGGAGGUCAGAAUCAUCCUCGACUGUGUAACAAGUUCGAAGCCAGCCUGGGCUACUUGAGACCUUGUCUCCCAUGUGAUCUCACCACCACCACCAGAAUACGUGUACUCUAAGACUUGGGGAAGUCUUAACUUUGGUUGUCAGACGCAUUCCCUUUUCUCUGUCAGGAGCAUAAUCCAGUUCUUUGUCUAGGACUCAGUACUAUCAGCUCCCCACCUUACACAAACUGAUAUUCAGAGUUUCUGCCAAACGUGAACAGUGAUCCAUAAGCAUGGGGGUCUUUAGGAGAGUCGACAAGAGGUCAGGCAGGAAAACGAAACCCCUGUUAAAGUGUAGGGUGUAGAGUCUGGCGUAGUAAUGCACGCCUUUUAAUCCCACUACUCAGGAGGCAGAGCAAGCUGAUCUAUGUGAGUUCAAGGCCAUCCUGGUCUACCUAGUGAGAGUUCCAGGGAAGACAAGGCUACCAGGAAGAGCAUGGGUGCAGCCGAGCCCCGGAUGGAAGUGUGUCCUUAUUGUAAGAAGCCGUUUAAGCGUUUAAAAUCCCACUUGCCGCACUGUAAAAUGAGAGGACCGUCCAUAUCUGCUGAUCAAAAUGUUUCUCAGUCCAAGCCAGCUGCACUUGCUCAAAAAGAGAAGAGUCCUACCAGAGACUUGACCAGAGCUAAAGAGAAGGAGCUAGAGGUAGACCGUCCGAAAAGAGCUGUGAAAGCAGAAACCAGCAGGGCAUCGUGGACAGCUGCAGCCUCUCCGCUUCCAGAGGGGAUCUUGGGAAGCGUGCGGAUAACAAAAGCAGAAGGAGAAAACAAAGAUCAAAAUCAGUUCUCCUUCCAAGCACUCAGCCAGGCCAAGCCAGAGGUGACUCUGCAGAGAGUCACAACCCCUUGGUCUCCUGCGUCAGAUGCCACCUCUCCUAAGAGAGAACUCACCCAAGAUGUGUCUGAGUCCAAGGGAAGUCCGUGUCCCUCAGAGACAGAAGCGCCUUCACUGGUCAGCUCAGUGGAACCUUUUCUUGCUAAUCAAGAUAGAAAAUAUUCAUCAACCCAGCCUCAUGCUAACCCAGCCACUUCUGUCGGGCUCAAGUUAGGCACAGUUGACCCCCAAAGACAGAAGCUUCGGGUAAAAUUAUUAGAUGUGCCUCUUAGUGAUCGUCAUUCUCCAAAGAGUGGCAGCCACGGGGUUCAGAGAGUAACACCCUCAGUGUUGAGCAGGGAGGAAGGUUCCCAAGAUGGAGGCCACCUCUUGGGAGUCUCUGCCCACCCUGGUAACACCAAGACCCAGAAGUCAGAAUCACUCCUCCUGGGCCUUCACACUGGCCUGCUGGGUAAAGCACCGGUCAGAGAGCAUCAGGAACUUGGCCUUGGCAUGGAGUUGAGCCAGAGCAAGGGAAAUACUGAGAACAGGAUGUCUGUCACCAACGUACAGGAAGGGGCUGGCUUGGGCCAAGGUGGUAAGGACCCCAUUACAGCCACAAAGGCAAAGCCACAUACCGCCCUCGAACUUAGGAACGUGUUCAUGCCGGAGUCAGGGAAUCAGAGCCUCACCUCUCCGGCUGUGACAUCUACUCCAGAAGAGAAUGCUCAAUUCUGUGGCCAAAGCCAUGUCCCUGCCAUAACACUGUCAGUGGGAAGUGUGAGAGAUGUUCUGGAACCCACAUCUUUCUACCAGCCCCACACGGCCCAGGCAGGGCACUGCCUAAUGUCAUACUCAGCUCAGUAUCCCGUUCCUAAAACCUUCGUUGGGCAUGUUGCUGCUGUUACCUCAGGGGCUCCUCCCAGGUCCGUGGGACUGGAGUGGUUUCCAGAACUCUAUCCUGCUUAUGUUGGACUAGGGGUGCUGCCAAGGAGGCCUCCGCCUUGGAGCUUAGCAGCUCAGGUCCCUCCUCUUCCCACUUUGCAGGGCAGGAGCGUCUCGAAAGUUCCUUGGUGGGGACGAAGUUCGGCUGAUAGCAGGAGUCUGGAACCCCUGACGCUUACAACUUCCAGCCUCCCUCUAAUGAGACUCUUGGGAGCUGUGCACAAAGGGUGGGUGCAGUGCAACACCACCAUAAAGAAGAGUGGUGUCGGUGGUCUCACGAUGCUCUUCGCUGGCUACUUUAUCCUGUGCUGUAACUGGAGCUUCAAGCAUCUGAUCAGCUGACCUCGUAUCCUGCUGUAUGAUUGGCAUCUCGGGCAUGUGCAGGAUAAAUGGAAAUAAGCCAGGUAGAGGAGGCUCUUUCUGCAUCCUGCAUCUCAUUACCGUGAUGGAGCUCACUGGACCACUGGGUACAGAAUACCCUGAGGAGGCCAUGGAGCCAGCCCUUACCUAGGAGAACGUCCAACUCCCUCGCUUCAGACUAGGUUUUGAUGGCUCCAACGGGUACAGCUUACUUUGCUGGCAUGGUGGCCUGGGUUUUGAAGAUAAAGGAGAAAGCAAGCUUAAAAGGUCAUGGCUGGUUUUGUCUUUGGUUUUUGAGACACAGUUUCUCUGCCUUCGCUGUCCUGGAUUUCGUUCUAUAGGCCAGGCUGGCCUCCAACUCACAGAGAUCUGCCUGACUCUGCCUCCCAAGUGCUGGGACUAAAGGUGUGUGCGACCACUGCCCGGCUAAGGCCACGCCUUUUCAUAAAUUCUCAGAAGAAAAGUCCCUGCUUGUCCAGAGAACCGCCGGAUGGUUUUCUAGAAUGUCUUGGCUUCUCCAGCCUCACGGCUCAGGAGGCUGGGAUGGGAGAACCUUGUAAGAACAAUGGGUUGAGAGCAGCCUGGAAAUAAUAGCAAGAUCUCGACCCAAAAGAGACGCUUAAGAUUCACGUUCGGCUCCCAUGUUUCAGAGAAGGCCAAGGUGGUUCUGGACUUGCAAAGGUCUCACGGAGCAGAGGCUUGCCUCUCUACAUAGCCAAGGAGGACUUUCAACUUCCGGUCCUCCUGCCUCCAUUUUGAAUGCAAACAGGAAUCAAACCCUUGAUGCCUACUAAGCAAGCAAGCAUUCUACCCACGGGACUGUAGCCUCGACCACUGAGGAUUUGUUUAAA